rnacentral:rRNA from 1 species
CCUACGGGAGGCAGCAGUGGGGAAUAUUGGUCAAUGGGCGGAAGCCUGAACCAGCCAAGCCGCGUGAGUGAAGACGUUCCUAUGCAUUGUAAGCCUCUUUAGCCGGGGAGCAAUGCCGGGCUAGCGUGCCCGGAGGGAGAGUCCCAGCACGAUCAGCAUCGGCCAAAACCGCGCCAGCAGCCGGGGUAAUACGGAGGAUGCGAGGGUUAUGGGGAUGUAUUGGGUUAAGGGGGUGCGUAGGCGGAUGUCAAAGUAAGCGGUAAAAUGUCCGGGCUCAACCCGGGCCGGCCGUUGAAACUGGGGAUCUUGAGUGGGCGAGGAGUAUGCGGAAUGCGUGGUGUAGCGGUGAAAUGCAUAGAUAUCAGGCAGAACUCCGGUUGCGAAGGCAGCAUACCGGCGCGCGACUGACGCUGAGGCACGAAAGCGUGGGGAGCGAACAGGAUUAGAUACCCGUGUAGUC